AUCUGAAUAUACCGGUUCUCGUUAGAUCACCAAAGUUAAGCAUCAUUGGGCGCGGUCAGUAUUAAAUGGGUGACCACUUGGGAACCCUGCGUGCCGU